rnacentral:rRNA from 1 species
GAGGAAUAUUGGUCAAUGGACGCAAGUCUGAACCAGCCAAGUAGCGUGCAGGAUGACGGCCCUCUGGGUUGUAAACUGCUUUUAGUUGGGAAUAAAAAAGAGGACGUGUCCUCUAUUGUAUGUACCUUCAGAAAAAGGACCGGCUAAUUCCGUGCCAGCAGCCGCGGUAAUACGGAAGGUCCAGGCGUUAUCCGGAUUUAUUGGGUUUAAAGGGAGCGUAGGCGGAUUAUUAAGUCAGUGGUGAAAGACGGUGGCUCAACCAUCGUUAGCCAUUGAAACUGGUAGUCUUGAGUGCAGACAGGGAUGCUGGAACUCGUGGUGUAGCGGUGAAAUGCUUAGAUAUCACGAUGAACUCCGAUCGCGAAGGCAGGUGUCCGGGCUGCAACUGACGCUGAGGCUCGAAAGUGUGGGUAUCAAACAGGAUUAGAUACCCUGGUAGUCCACACAGUAAACGAUGUAUACUCGCGGUUUGCGAUAGAAUGUAAGCCGCCAAGCGAAAGCAUUAAGUAUACCACCUGGGGAGUACGCCGGCAACGGUG